rnacentral:lncRNA from 1 species
UCAAACUUUUGCCUGAUUCUUUUUAGAGAGCUCAUCAUGUUGCUGAAGACAAUAAUAUAUCAGGACUUGCAUAGAAUGCCUAUGCAAUAGUUCCGAAACUUGAAACCUUAAAAUGUAGAAUUAAAAAUGCACCUCAAAAAUUGCAACCUUAAAAUGUAGAAUUAAAAAUGCACCUCAAAAAUCCAUCGGAAAAGGUUAGUUUAAUAUUAAAACCCUCUAAUUGAUCAUCUCGACAUCAAGAUAUAUGAAUAUGAAAAAAAAGAGACUUUGAGUCCCAAAAAUAGUGCAUUUUGCAACACAUUAUCUAGACCAUCCAUUUCCAAGAUUUCCAUAUGUUUAUAGAUCUACUUGAUUUUGGCCUUUUUGGAGUUUAAAAUUUAUAAUUAGAUAUAAAAAUAGAUGUUCAGAUAAUUCUAAGAAUCUCUUACACCAAAAUUACAUGUUAUGAAAUUUUUUGGAGGUGCACCUUAAUUGGAUUGUUUAAGGUUGCAACCUUAUAGAAACCACGCCCUUUAAAUAAUGGGCACAAAUCUUAUCAGGAGAAAUAGUUAGGUUUCCGAAAUAUGGAACAAGGUUGGGGAGGAAAAUGCAUCUGGUUCAUGCAUUUGCUUAAAUGCGGUUUCCAUUUUAUGAUAAAGAAAAGUGAAUUAGUUUACCCUUCAGUAAAAUCUAGUCCUGUCUUUAAAACGUGAAAUAGGCAAGGAUAUUGUACUAAACUACUCUUGCUUCUCCUGUAUUGUAAUCAAGAUUGGGGGUAAAAUUUCUCAAUAAAAUUUGACUGUCCAAGUACCAUCCUGAUGUUACUUAAGCUUUUAAACCGCCUGCAUGACCAAGCUGUUUUUCCCAUGUAUUAUCAUGAUAUUUACCUUGAUUAUAUGCAUUAUUUGAUUGCAUAUACGCUUCAGGAAG